CGGAUGUUUCGCAGAAGUUGACCGAACUUGAUUAUUUAGAGGAAGUAAAAGUCGUAACAAGGUUUCCGUAGGUGAACCUGCGGAAGGAUCANUAAAGUUCUCCUUUCAAGUUAUAAACAAAAACACAAUAUAUAAAAUACUUAUAUUGUAAAAUUAUGGCAAAUGCCAAAAAGAAACAAAAUAACAAUAAUAAAAAUGUUUAUUAUUGUAUCGCCUCCUAGGCAAAAAAGUAUAGUAUAAAGUGUUUGUGUGUGUUACACAUUACACAAAAAUUGACUUAUUUAUAUAAAAUUUGUAAAAACUGAAAUUGUGUGGACGUUAUACAAAAUUAAUUUGUAUAGAAAAUGUCUAAAAAUUUGAAAUACAUAAAAUUAUAGUUGUACUUGUAUAAAAUUGAAAAGUAAUUUUUUAUAUAAGUCAAUCAUUGUUCGUUUUUUAAGAACUUGAGACAUUCGCAACAAAAAUUUUAUGUUUUAGUUAUAAAAGAGAAGAAUAAUAAGCAAAAAUUAUUGAAGGAAUUGAUAUAUGCCAAUUUGAAACUUUUUGGUGUAUUUUUGAUUUCU
rnacentral:rRNA from 1 species